UGGGGAAUAUUGCACAAUGGGCGCAAGCCUGAUGCAGCCAUGCCGCGUGUAUGAAGAAGGCCUUCGGGUUGUAAAGUACUUUCAGCGGGGAGGAAGGCGAUAAGGUUAAUAACCUUGUCGAUUGACGUUACCCGCAGAAGAAGCACCGGCUAACUCCGUGCCAGCAGCCGCGGUAAUACGGAGGGUGCAAGCGUUAAUCGGAAUUACUGGGCGUAAAGCGCACGCAGGCGGUCUGUCAAGUCGGAUGUGAAAUCCCCGGGCUCAACCUGGGAACUGCAUUCGAAACUGGCAGGCUAGAGUCUUGUAGAGGGGGGUAGAAUUCCAGGUGUAGCGGUGAAAUGCGUAGAGAUCUGGAGGAAUACCGGUGGCGAAGGCGGCCCCCUGGAUAAAGACUGACGCUCAGGUGCGAAAGCGUGGGGAGCAAACA
rnacentral:rRNA from 1 species